UACGAAGGGGGCGAGCGUUGUUCGGAAUUACUGGGCGUAAAGGGCGCGUAGGCGGCCGAUCAAGUCAGAUGUGAAAGUCCUGGGCUUAACCUGGGGACUGCAUUUGAUACUGAUUGGCUUGAAUGCAGGAGAGGAUAGCGGAAUUCCCAGUGUAGAGGUGAAAUUCGUAGAUAUUGGGAAGAGCACCGGUGGCGAAGGCGGCUAUCUGGACUGUGAUUGACGCUGAGGCGCGAAAGCGUGGGGAGCAAACAGG
rnacentral:rRNA from 1 species